AGGUUUGAAGAGUGCUAGGCUGUGUAUCUAGACUAGCCAAGCCCUGGAGAGCAAUGUUGAAUCCCCAAGAAGAGAGAGCAUGGGGCGUGCUGAUUUAAAAACAGAAAAUGCAAAGUUGGACUGAAAAUAUCCUUAGUCUUCCAAGCAAUCUGCUUAAGGGUUCCAAACUUACCUUCAUUUGGUGAGAAAAGAAGCUGCCCUAUUUUUCUUUCCUCUUCUACAACUGGAACCAGCCAUUUCCCACAACCACCACCAUG
rnacentral:other from 1 species